rnacentral:rRNA from 1 species
CAGUCGCCACGGGAAUACGAAGGGUGCAAGCGUUAAUCGGAAUUACUGGGCGUAAAGCGUGCGUAGGCGGUUUGUUAAGUCUGCUGUGAAAUCCCCGGGCUCAACCUGGGAAUGGCAGUGGAUACUGGCAAGCUAGAGUGUGUCAGAGGAUGGUGGAAUUCCCGGUGUAGCGGUGAAAUGCGUAGAGAUCGGGAGGAACAUCAGUGGCGAAGGCGGCCAUCUGGGACAACACUGACGCUGAGGCACGAAAGCGUGGGGAGCAAACAGGAUUAGAUACCCGCGUAGUCCCUGUCUCUUAUAC